AUUGAACGCUGGCGGCGUGCCUAACACAUGCAAGUCGAGCGGUAACAGGUGUAGCAAUACAUGCUGACGAGCGGCGGACGGGUGAGUAACGCUUGGGAAUCUGCCUAUUAGUGGGGGACAACCCGGGGGAAACUCGGGCUAAUACCGCAUACGCACUACGGUGGAAAGCCGGGGACCGCAAGGCCUGGCGCUAACAGAUGAGCCCAAGUCGGAUUAGCUAGUUGGUAGGGUAACGGCCACCAAGGCGACGAUCCGUAACUGGUCUGAGAGGACGACCAGUCACACCGGAACUGAGACACGGUCCGGACUCCUACGGGAGGCAGCAGUGGGGAAUAUUGGACAAUGGGCGAAAGCCUGAUCCAGCGACGCCGCGUGGGUGAAGAAGGCCUGCGGGUUGUAAAGCCCUUUCAGUGGGGAAGAAAAGCCUCGAGCUAAUAUCUCGGGGUCUUGACGUAACCCAUAGAAGAAGCACCGGCUAACUCU
rnacentral:rRNA from 1 species